AAGCACUGCUCCCAUCUCAGCCUCUCAAAGUGCGGGGAUUACAGGCAUGAGCCGCCGCAGCCAAUUAUCUUGCAUUUGUCUAGCAUGUUUACCUACUUCGGUGGCUGCCAACCCCUGUUGCACAUUAGCAUUAAUCACCUGGGGAGAUUUGAUAAAUAGACUUGCCCAGGAUUUGGGGAGGGAGCUGGGCACUGGUGUUUUGUUAAACCUUCCCCAGGUGGUUUUGAUGCACAGGAAGGGUUGAGAACCGUUUGUCAUCUGGGCCCUCAUCGGGGUCCUGUGCAUGGGGAUUAUUGGCCCCAUUCCCCAGGUCAGGAGCGUGAGGCUUGAAGUUACGGAGAAGUUUUCAGGGUCACACACCUGAGGCCAAACAGCUGCUACAGAGUAGAGUUCAUAGUCAAUGACAAAGAACUCUCCACCGGGGUCAGCACAAAGUUUGCAGGUUCAGCAGGAGGCACCCUCCACUGUGGAACAGGAGGAGAGCGUGGAGCUGCUAGCGUGCUCAUCCUGUCACCCUGGGAAAACCCAGGCUAGAGCAGGAAGAAAUGCAGUUAUACGUGACGCCGAUGCCGCAAGGGACAGCAUGCACCUCCUGGAACGUGUGUGCCUGGGAAAAUCGCUGCCAGUUGUCAACAUGCAUCCUCAGCCUACCCAAGGCAGCUGGGCCUUCUUCCUGACACUUUGCAAAAGAGGGCAAGGACAGACUGUUGGACACAGCCAUGUGGCUGAGUCCUUCAGUGGAAGAAUGUCAGGCAGAUAAUUGGUCCCACAGGGGUCCUGUGAACGAUACAGUCCCCCCCCCCACCAGGGUAUCAGUUCUGGAAGAAGAUGGCCCAUUUCCAAGUGUCAGUCAUGAAGGUAACUUCAUAAAAACUGUACUUUCAAAUAUAUGGUUUAUUUUCUUUGGACUACCCAAACUUAGUCUUUGGACUAAUGCCAGAAUCUGAAUCUGAACACAUUUAGCAGUCCAUUUCUGCCAUAUUAGGUAACAUAGAUAAAUGUGGCAAAAAAAAAAAAAAAAAAAA